rnacentral:tRNA from 1 species
CCUCGUCACGCGGUGCCGGCCGGGCCGGCGCCGGUUCGGGCCUGGCAGGAUGGGACUGUGAAUCCCGCAGGUGAGUCCGAAGGCCACGGCGAGGC